UACAGAGGGUGCAAGCGUUAAUCGGAAUUACUGGGCGUAAAGCGCGCGUAGGCGGAUAAAUAAGUUGGGUGUGAAAUCCCUGGGCUUAACCUAGGAAUUGCAUUCAAAACUGUUUGUCUAGAGUACAAGAGAGGAGGGCAGAAUUUCCGGUGUAGCGGUGAAAUGCGUAGAUAUCGGAAGGAAUACCAGUGGCGAAGGCGGCCCUCUGGAUUGUUACUGACGCUGAGGUGCGAAAGCGUGGGGAGCAAAC
rnacentral:rRNA from 1 species